UACGGAGGGUGCAAGCGUUAUCCGGAUUCCCUGGGUUUAAAGGGUGCGUAGGUGGGCAGGUAAGUCAGUGGUGAAAUCUCCGGGCUUAACUCGGAAACUGCCAUUGAUACUAUCUUUCUUGAAUACCGUGGAGGUCAGCGGAAUAUGUCAUGUAGCGGUGAAAUGCUUAGAUAUGACAUAGAACACCAAUUGCGAAGGCAGCUGGCUACACGAAUAUUGACACUGAUGCACGAAAGCGUGGGGAUCAAACAGG
rnacentral:rRNA from 1 species